rnacentral:rRNA from 1 species
UAACGCGUGGGUAACCUGCCUCAUACAGGGGGAUAACAGUUAGAAAUGACUGCUAAUACCGCAUAAGACCACGGAGCCGCAUGGCUCCGUGGGAAAAACUCCGGUGGUAUGAGAUGGACCCGCGUCUGAUUAGGUAGUUGGUGGGGUAACGGCCUACCAAGCCAACGAUCAGUAGCCGACCUGAGAGGGUGACCGGCCACAUUGGGACUGAGACACGGCCCAAACUCCUACGGGAGGCAGCAGUGGGGAAUAUUGCACAAUGGGGGAAACCCUGAUGCAGCGACGCCGCGUGAGCGAAGAAGUAUUUCGGUAUGUAAAGCUCUAUCAGCAGGGAAGAAAAUGACGGUACCUGACUAAGAAGCACCGGCUAAAUACGUGCCAGCAGCCGCGGUAAUACGUAUGGUGCAAGCGUUAUCCGGAUUUACUGGGUGUAAAGGGAGCGUAGACGG